CAUGUAACACCAAUCCAAGUCUAAUACCAUUAAUCGACGUCUCCUGAGAUUAUUCGUGGUGAGAAUUUUGUCCAAAGCUGCUGUCCAAACAAAAAAAACAGCUUUUGAAGGAGCUUUGGUCUGCCAGAUGCUCUUCCAUGGGAAUGAGAGCUUACCCGGGUCUGAUAAAACUCUAUGAAAUGAUCGGACCGUAAAUUUACCUUUUUUGGAAGGGCUCCAAAACAUCCUAUCCAUCAUACCCUCGGUCAUACGUAC